GACGAACGCUGGCGGCGUGCCUAAUACAUGCAAGUCGAACGCUUCUUUCCUCCCUAGUGCUUGCACUCAAUUGGAAAGAGGGGUGGCGGACGGGUGAGUAACACGUGGGUAACCUACCCAUCAGAGGGGGAUAACACUUGGAAACAGGUGCUAAUACCGCAUAACAGUUUAUGCCGCAUGGCAUAAGAGUGAAAGGCGCUUUCGGGUGUCGCUGAUGGAUUGACCCGCGGUGCAUUAGCUAGUUGGUGAGGUAACGGCUCACCAAGGCCACGAUGCAUAGCCGAUCUGAGAGGGUGAUCGGCCACACUGGGACUGAGACACGGCCCAGACUCCUACGGGAGGCAGCAGUAGGGAAUCUUCGGCAAUGGACGAAAGUCUGACCGAGCAACGCCGCGUGAGUGAAGAAGGUUUUCGGAUCGUAAAACUCUGUUGUUAGAGAAGAACAAGGACGUUAGUAACUGAACGUCCCCUGACGGUAUCUAACCAGAAAGCCACGGCUAACUACGUG
rnacentral:rRNA from 1 species